GUCCGCGGGAUGCAUUGGUAGCACGACGCAGGUGAGACCAAUUCUUCGAUCUCCCGCACAGAUUUGCAGCUGCAGGAAUUUUGUUUUGGGGAAAAAAUGCGUCUGCUUAGUCACGUGUGUAAUCCAUCAGUCAAUAAAUGUUUAGAGUGUUGUGUUGCAACACGAACCAAUCUUGCAGGACAGCCAGGUUAUAUAAAAAUUCGAUCUUGUGCUAGGUUCAGAAGAUGUACUACUGUAUUUACUAUAGGAUUGAAGUAGAUUAGUUCAUACUUGAAUCCUAGACAGCUUCGAAAUUUCAGAAAAGCUUGUAAUGAUCUAAUGGGUAGAUAUGCGUGUAGUUUUCAUGCCCAGAACCAACCUUGUAGUUUUAAGGUUGGGAAUCUUUUCACUUGGUUUAAAUCUGAUAUGAAUUAGUAACUGCUAGAUCUAUACUUUUUUUAUCCAUAAUCGCGAGUUAAUGGAUCAUUACUACGCUGUGUGCAAGGGGAAGAAUUUGAGCUAGCAAGGGGAAAUAGCUGUAGCCUAUUUACAACUCACAAGAGCUUGGCCAUUGGUUAUGGUUCCACACAGAAUAUGCAUGUUUAUUAGGCAAGAUCAGAUUGUGUAGAAUGAAUCUAUUCAUGCUUAUUUUGAUGCAUAAUGUAAUCUCUUGUUUUUAUAGCUUGCUGAACGUUUCAUCUUUUGUGGUUGAGUGUCGUCUCACUGCCUCCAUGUCGCCCAGUACGCCGACAAGCAUCCGACCUGCUGCUUUCGGACGGUCGGGGGAGCUGAUGCUGUAACUGGCACCACUCCAGGGACAUCUACAAGGCCGGCGAGGGCAACUCCAGCCUCUGAGCCUGGGACGACAAUAUGUGCCUCCUCCGCACUGACCAAGACGACACUGCCCAGUCAUUUCCCUUUGUCCAUUGUCCUCGUUGUGGUCGGUGAUAGGCCAUGGGAGGACGAUUUGAUGUGCAUCCACGACAGCCGAUGCCGAUUCGAUAAUUUCCAGUUUUUGGAUUUUAUCAAGAUAAAGUCAACAAAAUUGUGGCAGGCCGAGAAGGAGCGAUUCAUGCUCAAAGCAGCGAAGAAGAUCCUGGCCCAGUACAUGGUGAUAAUCAACCAGCUGAUCGGAUACUAGCUAGCAAUAUUGAGAUAUAUACUAAAGGCCCGACAUUGUUGGU